AAGUCGUAACAAGGUUUCCGUAGGUGAACCUGCGGAAGGAUCAUUACAGAGAAAAUGCCCCUCGGGGUAGAUCUCCCACCCUUUGUUUACAUGUCUCUGUUGCUUUGGCGGGUCCGUCUACUGACCACCGGCCACGGCUGGUCUGCGCCCGCCAGAGGACCCAAAACUCUUAUUUAACGUCGUCUGAACUAUUAUAAUAUAAUUUAAAACUUUCAACAACGGAUCUCUUGGUUCUGGCAUCGAUGAAGAACGCAGCGAAAUGCGAUAAGUAAUGUGAAUUGCAGAAUUCAGUGAAUCAUCGAAUCUUUGAACGCACAUUGCACCCUCUGGUAUUCCGGAGGGUAUGCCUGUUCGAGCGUCAUUACAACCCUCAAGCUCUGCUUGGUAUUGGAAUAGAAUAGAUAUUCAUUCUCAAAAUCAGUGGCGGUGCCGUCUGGCUUCCAGCGUAGUAAUUUUCUCGCUGUGGAAACCCAGGUGUGCGCUCGCCAGCAACCCAUAUCAUUCUAAAGUUGACCUCGGAUCAGGUAGGGAUACCCGCUGAACUUAAGCAUAUCAAUAAGCGGAGGAAAAGAAACCAACAGGGAUUGCCUCAGUAACGGCGAGUGAAGCGGCAACAGCUCAAAUUUGAAAUCUGGCCUUCUGGCCCGAGUUGUAAUUUGUAGAGGAUGCUUCGAACGUGGUCUGGUCUAAGUUCCUUGGAACAGGACGUCAUAGAGGGUGAGAAUCCCGUAUGCGACUAGGUGCCUUAGUUCAUGUGAAGCUCCUUCGACGAGUCGAGUUGUUUGGGAAUGCAGCUCAAAAUGGGUGGUAUAUUUCAUCUAAAGCUAAAUAUUGGCCAGAGACCGAUAGCGCACAAGUAGAGUGAUCGAAAGAUGAAAAGCACUUUGGAAAGAGAGUUAAACAGUACGUGAAAUUGUUGAAAGGGAAGCGCUUGCAACCAGACUUGCAUGUAGUUGAUCAUCCGGUGUUCUCACCGGUGCACUCGAUUACGUUCAGGCCAGCAUCGGUUUCGGUGGUUGGAUAAAGGCUCUGGGAAUGUAGCUUCUUUCGGGGAGUGUUAUAGCCCAAGGUGCAAUGCAACCUACCGGGACCGAGGACCGCGCUUCGGCUAGGAUGCUGGCGUAAUGGUUGUAAGUGACC
rnacentral:rRNA from 1 species